AGGAUGAACGCUAGCGGCAGGCUUAACACAUGCAAGUCGAGGGGCAGCAUGAGGGUUAGACAAUUAACCUUUGAUGGCGACCGGCGCAAGGGUGCGUAACGCGUGAGCAACUUGCCCGUUUCGUGGGGAAUAACCGGUGGAAACGCCGACUAAUACCCCAUAGCAUUGAUUUCAGGCAUCUGUUAUCAAUUAAAGAAUUUCGGAAACGGAUAGGCUCGCGUGACAUUAGCUAGAUGGCGGGGUAACGGCCCACCAUGGCGACGAUGUCUAGGGGUUCUGAGAGGAAGGUCCCCCACACUGGAACUGAGACACGGUCCAGACUCCUACGGGAGGCAGCAGUGAGGAAUAUUGGUCAAUGGUCUGACGACUGAACCAGCCAUGCCGCGUGAAGGUGACGGCCCUAUGGGUCUUAAACUUCUUUUGUAAGGGAGCAAUAAGGUCUACGUGUAGAUUGAUGAGAGUACCUUACGAAUAAGCAUCGGCUAACUCCGUG
rnacentral:rRNA from 1 species